AGCAGCGUGGCUCAGUGGAAAGAGCAUUGGCUUUGGAGUCAGAGGUCAUGGGUUCAAAUCCCGGCUCGGCCA
rnacentral:tRNA from 1 species